UGGAUUGGUGCCUUCGGGAACUGUGAGACAGGUGCUGCAUGGCUGUCGUCAGCUCGUGUUGUGAAAUGUUGGGUUAAGUCCCGCAACGAGCGCAACCCUUAUCCUUUGUUGCCAGCGAUUAGGUCGGGAACUCAAAGGAGACUGCCAGUGAUAAACUGGAGGAAGGUGGGGAUGACGUCAAGUCAUCAUGGCCCUUACGACCAGGGCUACACACGUGCUACAAUGGCGCAUACAAAGAGAAGCGACCUCGCGAGAGCAAGCGGACCUCAUAAAGUGCGUCGUAGUCCGGAUUGGAGUCUGCAACUCGACUCCAUGAAGUCGGAAUCGCUAGUAAUCGUGGAUCAGAAUGCCACGGUGAAUACGUUCCCGGGCCUUGUACACACCGCCCGUCACACCAUGGGAGUGGGUUGCAAAAGAAGUAGGUAGCUUAACCUUCGGGAGGGCGCUUACCACUUUGUGAUUCAUGACUGGGGUGAAGUCGUAACAAGGUAACCGUAGGGGAACCUGCGGUUGGAUCACCUCCUUACCUUAAAGAA
rnacentral:rRNA from 1 species